rnacentral:rRNA from 1 species
AGAUCGCAUGGCUUUACGCCGGCGACGGUUCAUUCAAAUUUCUGCCCUAUCAACUUUCGAUGGUAAGGUAGUGGCUUACCAUGGUUUCAACGGGUAACGGGGAAUUAGGGUUCGAUUCCGGAGAGGGGGCCGGAGGAACGGCCACCACAUCCAAGGAAGGCAGCAGGCGCGCAAAUUACACAAUUCCGAUACGGAGAUGUAGUGACAAUAAAUACUGAUACAGGGCUCUUUUGGGUCUUGUAAUUGGAAUGAGUACAAUUUAAACCUCUUAACGAGGAACAAUUGGAGGGCAAGUCUGGUGCCAGCAGCCGCGGUAAUUCCAGCUCCAAUAGCGUAUAUUAAAGUUGUUGCAGUUAAAAAGCUCGUAGUUGAACCUUUGGCCUGGCUGGCAGGUCCGCCUCACCGCGUGCACUUGUCCGGCCGGGCCUUUUCUUCUGGAGAACCGCAUGCCCUUCACUGGGUGUGUUGGGGACCAGGACUUUUACUUUGAAAAAAUUAGAGUGUUCAAAGCAGGCCUUUGCUCGAAUACGUUAGCAUGGAAUAAUAGAAUAGGACGUGCGGUCCUAUUUUGUUGGUUUCUAGGACCGCCGUAAUGAUUAAUAGGGACAGUCGGGGGCAUCAGUAUUCAAUUGUCAGAGGUGAAAUUCUUGGAUUUAUUGAAGACUAACUACUGCGAAAGCAUUUGCCAAGGAUGUUUUCAUUAAUCAGUGAACGAAAGUUAGGGGAUCGAAGACGAUCAGAUACCGUCGUAGUCUUAACCAUAAACUAUGCCGACUAGGGAUCGGGCGGUGUUUCUAUUGUGACCCGCUCGGCACCUUACGAGAAAUCAAAGUGUUUGGGUC